UACGUAGGUGGCGAGCGUUGUCCGGAUUUACUGGGCGUAAAGAGCGCGCAGGCGGUCGUACAAGUCGCGUGUGAAAGCCCCCGGCUCAACUGGGGAAGUGCACCCGAAACUGAAUGGCUUGAAUGCAAAAGAGGGUCGCGGAAUUCCCGGUGUAGAGGUGAAAUUCGUAGAUAUCGGGAGGAACACCGGUGGCGAAGGCGGCGACCUGGGUUGACAUUGACGCUGAGGCGCGAAAGCGUGGGGAGCAAACAGG
rnacentral:rRNA from 1 species